rnacentral:siRNA from 1 species
ACCGAGUAGAGGUAAUGGUGUGUU